AUUAUAUCAGUUAUCAUUUUCUUGAACGAAUUUACAAACCUACAUGGAUAACCGUAGGAAUUCUAGAGCUAAUACAUGACAAAAAUCCUGACUCCUCGAGAGAAUAAGGAUGAAUUUAUUAGAUUACAACAAACGCAGAGGCAUCUAACUGUAUGAAACAUUGUUUUGUAUGGGCUUCUGGCCUUUUAUUAGGCGUAAACGGUGAUUCACAAUAACUAAUCGAAUCGCAGAGACUUUUUAGUCGGCGAUGUUACAUACAAAUUUCUGCCCUAUUAACUUUAGAUGGUAGUGUAGUUGACUACCAUGGUGUUCAUGGGUACGGGGGAUCAGGGUUCGGUUCCGGAGAGGGGGCCUGAGAAAUGGCCACCACUUCCAAGGAAGGCAGCAGGCGCGCAAAUUACCCAAUCGCAACUCGCGGAGGUAGUGACAAGAAAUAUCAGUGUAGCGACAAUGUUGCUAUGUUUGGAAUGAGAGUAAUAUAAAAAAAUUAACGAGGAACCAUUGGAGGGCAAGUCUAGGUGCCAGCAGCCGCGGUAAUUCCAGCUCCAAUAGUGUAUACUAAAGUUGUUGCAGUUAAAAAGCUCGUAGUUUGAUUUCGGACGUUGGAUUUAGUAGUCUACACAAUGUUGUACGUACUGCAAAUACAAUUCCUUUUUUUCAGGAUUACAAUUUAUUUUGUACCUGAUCAUUUACUUUGAGAAAAUUAGAGUGUUCAAAGCAGGCGUAAUUUUGCCUUUGAAUAUAUUAGCAUGGGAUAAUAGAAAAUGGCUUUGAGAGGUGUUCUCGUUUAGUUUUACAUAACCUCUCAAGCAAUGAUAAAUAGGGAUAGUUGGGGUAAUUGGUAUUUGGUCGCAAGAGGUGAAAUUCUAAGAUUGACCAAAGACUAACAGAUGCGAAAGCGUUUUACAAGGAUGUUUUCAUUAAUCAAGAACGAAAGUUGGGGGAUCGAAGAUGAUCAGAUACCGUCGUAGUCUCAACCAUAAACUAUGUCGACCAAGGAUUCGGGGGUGUUUAAAAUGAAUGACCCUCUGGGCACUUAUAGAGAAAUCAUAAGUAUUUGGAUUCCGGGGGGAGUAUGGUCGCAAGGCUGAAACUUAAAGGAAUUGACGGAAGGGCACCACCAGGAGUGGAGCUUGCGGUUUAAUUUGACUCAACACGGGAAAAUUUACCAGGUCCAGAGAAUAUAAGGAUUGACAGAUUGAGAGCUCUUUCUUGAUUUAUUUGGUGGUGGUGCAUGGCCGUUUUUAGUUCGUGGAGUGAUUUGUCUGGUUAAUUCCGAUAACGUACGAGACCUUAACCUAUUAAAUAGUUAUAUAAACGUUUUGCAAUUUACGCAAUUUCUGUUUAUAGAAAUACUUCUUAGAGGUACAAUUCAUGUAAAGAGUGAAAGGAAGUUUGAGGCAAAAACAGGUCUGUGAUGCCCUUAGAUGUUCUGGGCUACACGCGUGUUACACUGGUACAUUCAACGAGCUUUAUAUUUUCCUUUCCCGAUGGGGAUGGGUAAUCUUUUAAACAUGUACCGUGAUGGGGAUAGAGUAUUGUAAUUUUUACUCUUGAACGAGGAAUUCCUAGUAAGUGCAAGUCAUUAACUUGCGCUGAUUACGUCCCUGCCCUUUGUACACACCGCCCGUCGCUCCUACCGAUGAAUGGUCCGAUGAGGACUCGGGAUGGAUCUUGAUUUUGUCAUUGACAUGCAAGUAUCCAGAACUUGUUCAAAUCUUAUCAUUUAAAGGAAGGAGAAGUCG
rnacentral:rRNA from 1 species